UACGUAGGGUGCAAGCGUUGUCCGGAAUUAUUGGGCGUAAAGAGCUUGUAGGCGGUUUGUCGCGUCUGCUGUGAAAUUUCGGGGCUCAACCCCGAACUUGCAGUGGGUACGGGCAGACUAGAGUGUGGUAGGGGAGACUGGAAUUCCUGGUGUAGCGGUGAAAUGCGCAGAUAAUCAGGAGGAACACCGAUGGCGAAGGCAGGUCUCUGGGGCCACUACUGACGUGAGAAGCGAAAGCAUGGGGGAGCGAACAG
rnacentral:rRNA from 1 species